rnacentral:tRNA from 1 species
GUUUCUGUAGUUGAAAUUAACAACGGCGGCUUUUCAGGCCGCGGGUCUUGGAAAAAAGCCAAGCGGAAACC